AUAGUGCUUUACAUGACGGUUUAGAGAUGACAUUCUUUGAAACCAAGCAAGCAAACGACAAGGACAAGUAAGAUCAAGAUUGUGUUUUAUUUAAGAAUUAUUUGGUUCCUUUAACAUUUUAUUCCUGAUUUUACCAAAAGGAAAGAAAAUAGCAAAACCUUUGUUACAUGAAGGGCUCGAACCUCAAACCUCCCAAAUGAAAAUUAAAUCCUACCACUAUGCCGUUUAUAUCAGUUUGUGAUAUGGAUGGUUCGUUAUCCCUAAAAGUUUAUUUGACGUUCAUAAUUUUUUUUUAAAAAAAAAUCAGAUCAGACUAUAAUGGGCCUCAAAAUGAUGCCCAGUUCAGCCCAAACCAAGCCGUAUUCUCUGACUCGUUGGUUCUUGAGAUGAACGGCUGCAAUGCACCAGACUUUGAAUAAACCUGCUCAAACCCUAUCGUCUCCUCCUCAGCUGCAGUAGAUAUCGGUGCCUCCUCCAGCGCCUCUUUUUCCCUCUUCCCCAUCCUCGCAUCUGGCAGAGCAGUGGCUCUCAGUGUGCCCAAACCCUAGCGUCGCACUACACAGCUCGCCAGAUCUCGCCCACGCGGAUCCGGCCCUUGCCGCAGUGGACCAUGCCCCUCCAUGUUUGGAGUCCCGACGGCUGGCUCGUCUCCCACCUUCCAUGACCACGGUGGGCACGGUGAACUGCACGAACAACACGACCUCGGCGAACCAGCAUGGAGACCUGUCCGCGUGGUGCAGGCCCCAACUGCGCGCGUGGUGCAGGGGCAUGGCGACGGCCGGCUCCACGAGGUGAGGAUCUCCUUCUCUCCUCUUUUUAUUUUUUUAUUUAGGGUCAGGGUUAGGGAUUCGGGAAAUAGAAGACUAUUCCUUCUAAUUGCAUAGCUCAUGGACUGAAUCACCCUUAAUUUCAUAAGACUAGAUCUAAUCAUGAUUUGUCUCAGGUCCCACAAACUGCUCUAGUAUUUUUGGAAAAGCAUUAGGGACUAAUCUUCUAGUAAUUUGAUCAAACCUGCUCUUCUUUGAAGAAUGAACAUCAUAUCUGCAAUGCCAACCACUGCACCACCGUAUCUCUGCAACUGCAGAUUUAGACAAAUUCUGCGGAGCAUAUUUCCAAAGUAAGCUAGUUAUGAAUCUUUGAAGUUAUAAAUGAUACAUAUAUAAUUCUAUAUAUCUGGAUAGGACUAAAUCAUGCCAUGAUUCAGAUUCUAAAGUUACAUGAUGAAAAAUUAAUGUGAAAAAUCCUUAUCUACUAGUGAUACUCGACAGAGGAUCCUUGUGAAACUUUGAAUGCCUUCCAAGUGAUCAAAGUACAAAAUUUGCUAAAUAGUAAGUGCCAUAUCAGGCAAGUGUGUUAAGUUUAUAUAAGUACUGAAGAAAUAGGGAAAGCUAACUAUUUCCUGAAGAGUGAAAUGGUGAAUCGAAUUGAAUUAUCAUUUUUUGGACAGUGAAAUCGUGAACUGAAUUUUUAGCAACCUGCGCAGUUGAAAAAUAAAAUCAGAAAAUUGUUAGCAUACUAAGGCUUAGCUGUGCAUAUAUAGUUGAUUACAGUCAGCACUGCAUACAUGUAAAUAGUCAUAUUGCAAUCUGCAAACAGUUAUAGAAUAAAAGUCCACUACACUUCAAGAUAGUGCACUAAAGAAUUUGAUUUAACACGUGUACAGAGGAAGUUAGCAUGGUACCAGAUGUACCAGAAUUUGAUUGACUAAUUAUCUUUUAUUUCCAUUGAUAAAUAAAAGAUAAUUAGUCAAUUAGAUAAGAUAAUUACCUUCAGAGUAGUGAAUGCUUCUGAAAUUUGUAGCGCUGAGUGCCAGUCUUGUAGCUCAUGGAGCGAACCACCCUUGAGUGAAACUUGUAGCUCAUAUACAUGCCUUGUUCUAACAUUCUUAGGGCGCAUCAUUUAUUUCAGGUUAAAAAGAAUGUUAUAUUAUAUGCUAUAUUGAGAUCUGAGUUACCUGUGGCUAGGGGGACAAUCCUUUCAACUACUCCAAGCACUAUUGUAGGAGGACAGUCCAUUCAAUAAAGUAAUAAACUAGACUUGAUAGAAUUUUCAUUUCCACGACCUCUAAUGCAUGACCAAUGUUUCUAAUUAAUCCUAUAUGUGAUAGAUAAAGGAAUGCAAGAAGAGGGAAGACAAGAAGGCAUCAAGCACACCUUUUAAGGGCACUACAGGUAUGUCCCUUGACCACCGUAUGUCCCUUGACCACCUGUAAAACCUACUGACUAAAUUCAGCACCUAGUGACCAUACUGUUGUACUACUAUAAAAAUGUGUGAAGGUUUUGACCAGCCAAGAAAGUUUCUGGUUAGAUAUUUAGUAUGUAACAGUAGCCCAUUUUUUCUAAGCCUUAGUCAUCUUGUUUGUCACAUGACAGUGCUGCUAUGUUCAUAAUAAAAAACAUGACAAUGCUGCUAGGUAGAGGCCUUUGCACUCGAGUGAUCUGCACCUAAUUAUUUUAGUCAUCUUGCCACUAAUAAGAAGUAUACGUGCUCCCUAGUGGUAAAUUUACUAAUUCUCUAGUGCUCCCUAGGAUGAGGCAAAUGGAAUUGUUGAAUGAUUCUGAAAACAAGAAGAGUUAUGCCCAUGGCAACCCACUGCCUCAACCUAGCAAGUGACUCAACCUAGCAAGCAGAAUUUAGCUAGCAAGUAGAAGAGAGAAUCUUUUAAAGAUGAUCCUACUCACACACUAGUAGUACACUACUAUUGUACAACAGCUUUAUAUUAUUUUCUCCAACUCAACCUAGCAAGCAGAAUUUAGCUAGCAAGUAGAAGAGGUAUUCUUUUUAACAGAUGAUCAUACUCACACACUAGUAGUACACUACUAUUGUACAACAACUUUUUAUUAUUUUCUCCACUUGCCUAAUUACAUGUUAUAUUUUUUAGAAAGUGUUGGGCACAACAAGUGUUUGGCUUAAGUUCAUGGAAAAUGGUUCUCCACAACCUGGUGGACGUGCUUUUGGUUUUUCAUUUUCUAUUGUGUGCACCAACCUUAGUAUUAUAUAUCAAACACAAACUACUAUAUAUUGCUUGUUGGUGUGCAUUCAUGUAAGCUUGUGUUGGAUAAUGUACUAUGCAAGACAAGAUUGUAUGCUUGACUUUGUUGGAUGAUGUAGUGUGAUGUAAUGUGCAAGACAAGAUUGUAUGGUACAAUAUAUAUAUAUCUACCUUCAUGUCAUGUAUGACCUUAUAUCUUUGUGUGUGAUGGACAUUGAGCUUGAAUGUGGGUUUGAUGUGCUAAAUAUUUCCAUUUUUUUGUAUUUGAAUUAUGCCGUUGAACAAUCUUACGCUAUAUAUAUGUUGAUCAUUAGAUAAUCUGACGGUAUAUGUU
rnacentral:lncRNA from 1 species